GUCACCACUAUUGCUGUAGCACAUGGAAAAGUCACUGCUUGUGUCAGUGAUAAUACUUUACUAGGCCAAGCAGUCCUGGCCUCUUUCAUGCUACAGAUGUCUUGGUUGUAAGCUGCCUCCACGACUUGCUUUUUGUCACAAACAAGAGAGGAGAAAAGAAAGAAGAAAAAAGAAAAAAGAAAGAAGAAAAAAAGAAAGAAGAAAAAAGAAAGAAGAAAAAAGAAAUAUGAUAAGACAAAACGGCAAGAAACAAAGGGGGGGGGGAAGGGGGGAAGUGAUUUUCAAUGUAAAUUUUAUCAACAUGGGGAAGAUGGAAGAGCAGAAAUUUCUCCAAGACACAUUCCGAAAAUUCUUCUCAUUAUUUUCAUGUACAAAUUCUCAAAGUAGCUAUUUCAUUUUUUGCAAGCAGCCUCGCAAAUACUCGGUAGCUCCUGAGGGCACGUGAAACCCAAUUCACCCCUUAAAAUCCUCAGACAGACAGCACUCAGCAAUGCGAAGUAUGAGAUGAUUGCGUCUUAUAUUCACACAUUAUCAUGGUGUAAUUGAAACUUUAUCUGAAGGGGAGAGAGGGAAAACCACAGAGCUGAGUUCAUGUGGCUGUCAGUGAGAACUUUUAAUUGCCUUUAUGCCCAUAUUACAUUUUUUCAUUAAAACUUCUAGGGUAUGGUAAAGGGAAAGCUCAGCACUGCAGCGUUCCAUCCAGCGUGGUGUGGUGGUGGCAUGGAUAGGAGUUUGGGGUUAGGGUUUUUUUUUUUCUUUUUCUUCUUCUUUUUUUUUUUUUUUCUUUUUGCAAGUGCUUCAGAUUUUUCCAAUAGAUGUGGGCAAAGUUUUGUGUAAUUUUCCUGCGACCUUGAUUAUGCAACUGUGUGUGACUGCUGCCCCAGGUGACAUCAAAGAUGUCACUCUCCUUAUCAGGUCGAGGGCAGCCCCAGGAAGGCAAGGGACACCCUGAGGGCACCUGGCCAUGCCAGGGGCAGAUGGCCCUCCAUCCUGCUUUGAUUGAUGAGCUUGUCUUCGGGAAGCUCCCAUUGCUCCCACCCCGUUUUCUGAAGUGGUUACAGAGCUGGCAGGCAGAACACACACAAAGGCACCAUGAUGAUGACACUCAAGACCUUCAAGGUAUUUAUGUCCCCUUCCAACCCUGCAGUAUCAUGUGCUUACCUUCAAACAGGGUCCCAAACCCCACUGAAGUUAAAGGGUUAAAUCGGGCCCCCUUUGAAGUCAGCAGUGCAAACCUUCAUCCCAACAGGGCGGGUUCCUCCUCCUGGCGCUAAGUGCUUUGAUGAAUCAGCACUGAAGCACCCAAAUGAGGUGCAAAGGAACAUCCCCUCUUCCAGGUCCCUCCUGAACACCGCAGGCCCAGCCCUCAGGAGGGAUGACAGCUGUGGCCAUGCCCUGGUCAUUCCACACUCCUACAGCCCAUCACAACUAUCAGUGGGAAACCCCAUGUGUUUUAAGUCCCCGCUCCUGCCCACAGCCUGGCUGCAGUUGCUCAGCUAAGGGCAAUGACCCUGCAGAGGCCAUCAGGAGAAGGAAGCAGGAAUGGCCUCUCUUUGCCAUGGGAGUCACUGGUCUUGCCCAACAGACCUGCCAGCCUCACUGGCAGCGCUGGGCUACGAGAUCAGAAGAAACCAACUGCAUACAAGAAGUGCAAAAAUGCUGCAAACGUUCCAAAAAAAAAAAAAACCCCUCCCAUCACAUCCAGACUCUCCUUAAAACAUUGCCAUAAUUCAAACAUCCACACACCAAAAAAAAAAAAGACGAAAGCUGCCUACAGAUUCAGGUUCAGAUGGUUCAGUGUUGGAUGUUGUUAUGUUAGGACCUGGAAAACUAAUCCAUGAGAGAGGCUUCUACCCAUUCCUCUUUGAAUAUUUCUCUCCACCUUUUGGUCACUUUUCCUCAGUUUCUCUUCUCCCUGAAAGCCUGGGAUGGAGCUUUGGGCAGCCAGGUGGGCUCCCCAGCACCUGGAGUGGGGAGGCAGAGAGGAAUAGAAAUCCUCCCUGGUUUUCAGAAUUACUUUGCAUCGUGUUUUCUGCUGUAUCAGGUAAGCAUUUAGGGAUCACAAGUCCUUUUGAAAAUGCUUUUUUUUCUCUCUCUUUUUCUUUUUCUUUUUUUCUUUUUCUUUUUCUUUUCCUUUUUCUUUCUUUCUUUCUUUCUUUCUUUCUUUCUUUCUUUCUUUCUUUCUUUCUUUCUUUAAGCAGAAAAUUGAGUGAAAAAUAAGAAGUAGGAAAAAGAAAAGAUAAGCUCUGGUCAAUCAAGCCCCAGCUUUCUUGUCUCCAGUUUGUGAUAUGUUUUAUGAUCUCAGACACAACAGACUGUGAGCCUGCAAUGUUUGGAAAUGGUAGAUGAUUAAACCUCUGGCCAGGUGUAAAUGCAACCUUUGUCUUCUGCUCACUGUGUGAGAAUCACCUUCCUUCUCAAAGUCCCGGGCUGGCCCUGCUCUCAUCACUGUUACAAACAUCCCCUGCUUGGAUCCACAACCACCGUGCGCUUCCUCCUUGUUUCUGAUCUGUGAAUGCACCUAUGUGAUCUGUACCACUCAAAUUGUUCUGAAUCACAGAAAAGAAAAAGAAAAAAAGAAAGAAAAUGUUGGGCAAGCUACUAAAAUUUGCAAGAAUGUGGCCUGUGAGUUUUUCUACUUCUUCUCCUGGGGGGAUUUUGUACCAGGUAAAUAAUAAAAAAUGUCUAAUGAUUGACUAGGCUUUUAAACCUGAGCUGAAGGUAAGUUUGCCUUGCUGUUCCAGUUAAAUAUUCUCACUAGCCCCCUUCUCUUUCUCCGUUUUAUCAUGCCACAAAAUCCCCUUCAGCCUGAUUCAUUCUUUAUUCUUCAGAAAUUUGGGUAACAGUCAAAUCUGACCUUUAGAGCCAUAAACAAAUUAAAUUGUUUCACAACCAAAUAAUACGAAACAAUAUUGAAUAGCUCGGCUUCCGCCGAGUUUCCUCUUAAAGAGAAAGAAGCCCCAAAAGGGCGCAACACCAAGAAAUGGGAGAUAGAGUGAUGGGGCAUGAAUUGCGUUGAUGCAGCGAUGAAGUGGUGAAACACUGGGGUGAGAGACACCAGCACUUGGGAGGAUGAUAUGCUGAAUUAUUGAGUCCUUUGGGAGCAGGUUGCUCCCCAGGGCACGCCCCACUGCAGAGCAACUCAAGCUGAAACCCAACGAUGGACUCUCAAUGCACUCUCAGAGCUGCCAGGCUGGAAAACACUCCUCCUCUCCCUUCUGUUUGCCUGAACUUUGCUGUUCCCUGCACAGGAGGCACCCAACGCGUGGUCCAGCUGACACAGGAACCGUGACAGAAGUUCUAUCUCCGAACACAAUUUUCUCAAGAAACACUCUGUAAAUGCCACUGAACUUACACGACGAAAGAUCUGCAGAACAAGGGCCUUAGCAGAGAUAAGUAAUCACAAGAAAAAGAUUAGGCAACAGCAAGCCUACAGGCGGAAGUGGCGUAUUGGGAUUGCAGUGGCAUGACUACAAAGCUUCAGAGGAGAGUGCAAAAUUCUCACUUCAGUUCUGAUUUCUUUCUUCUGGCUCAUUUUUAGGCCAUAUAGUAUAUUUUAACCUUACUUCUUGUUUUUCAGGGAGCUCUCCUACACUUUUCUUUGUCUCUGUUUUCUCAUUCUAUUCCCUUCCAGGGUUUCUGCACUUUCUGUUCCAGAAAUCUCUUGCAGGAUCUGAUUCUGCAGAUGAUGCUGUAACCAGCAGUCAUAUUUUAUCCUGUGCCUGCUGAAACAAAUGAUGGAACUGCUAUUCCAGUAAGGGAUUCGUGAAUUUGGAUCACAGCUCAGAAGAUGAACACCUCCAACUGUGUAUGCAAAGAACAUCUGAAUUGAUUUUCCAAGGAGGAGAAGUACAGAACUCAAAGUGCUCCUUUGGUAGGAUGUGUGUGCUCACACUGAAAUUCAGGCUUUCAGAAUCAAUUCACAAACUCCUAUAACUCUGUACUGUUUAAACACGGAUUCAGAAGGUUACAUCAUUUCCUCUGACCCAUGCAAAGAUAAGACACAGGACCAUCAGACAGUGGUUUGCAGCGAUCUGACUAACAUCACUUAUAACCCAUCAAAGACACUCCACAGCUCAGUCCUGAGCCCUCUUAGGAUGCAACAAUCCUCCUACAGAGUGCACAGUUCGGAUAUCUAUACUGUGCAGAGAAGCAUUACAAAUGGACAAUUGCACAGGAUUAAUCCUGCUCAGAUUGCAUGCCCUGUGGCCUCUGGAUGACGGCCAGCUCCACAUCAUUACCGCCUCUGAACAAGAAGAAGAGCCUCAUCUGGGGCAAGAUACAGCCUGCAAAACAUUGCUAAGAGUUAACAGUGUCACCUUAUUUUGUCUUCAAGCAAUCAUGUAAAGACAGAGGAACUGCUCUGUAAGAGUGUGGCAGCAUGCAACAAGAUGUCUAUGAAUGAAUCUUCUCUCAGCCUCUUGCUUUUGGCAGAGAAAGGCACAACAAGAAUAGCUGGAAGUUGAAGCCAUAUUGAAAAGAAAAUCCAAUGUGAGAACUCAGAACUAUAUUUUCACCAGUGGGGUGAAGAGCGUGCCAGCACAGUGCAGCAGCCUUGCUGCUAGGAGAACCAAGGAACCUUCACCAACGCAAACUGUACUUCCCGCUGACCUUGCAGAUAACUGCGAACCAAAACACUCAGCCCUCUAAUUUCUGUUCCUGAUGGAGCUUUACAAGAUCGAGCUAAAUUUAACGAGGAGGAGGAGGAAGGUCACUCUGAAAAUCUUUCCAAACAUUUCUCUCCUGUGGCGGAAGGGAGGGUUCAGGUGCAGGAAGAGUCUACAGGCACAAGGACCUGCUGGAUCAGCCUCCUUGGCCAGAGAUCCAUUACUGUCCCACACCACCCUGCUCCUUCCCCGUCAGUCCCAUAGCAUCCCCACAUCGUGACAAGGGUGUGAGGUGGUGCUGGGACGUACCAUGAAUGCUCUGUAGAUGCCGGAGGGCAUUUAAAAAAAUAAAAUUUGCAUUUGUUUAUUUUUUCUGUCCCUCCCAGCCUGCUAUGUUCCAUGCUUG
ensembl:lncRNA